CAAAGGAUGGAAGGGUCUAAGACGUCCAACAACAGCACCAUGCAGGUGAGCUUCGUGUGCCAGUGCUGCAGUCAGCCCCUGAAACUGGACACGAGUUUCAAGAUCCUGGAUCGUGUCACCAUCCAGGAACUCACAGCUCCAUUACUUACUACAGCCCAGAUGAAACCAGGAGAGACCCAGGAGGAAGAGACUAACUCAGGAGAGGAGCCAUUUAUUGAAACUCCUCGCCAGGAUGAUGUCUAUUACUGAUUCAUCCCCCCAGCAAGGAUGAUGUCCACAGAAAGCACCAACAGCUUCACUCUAAUUGGGGAAGCAUCUGAUGGCAGCACCAUGGAGAACCUCAGCCGAAGACUGAAGGUCACUGGGGACCUUUUUGACAUCAUGUCAGGCCAGACAGAUGUGGAUCACCCACUGUGUGAGGCAUGCACAGAUACUAUUUUAGACCAGCUGAACACUCAGCUCAAUGUCACUGAAAAUGAAUGUCAGAACUACAAACGCUGUUUGGAGAUCUUAGAGCAAAUGAAUGAAGAUGACAGUGAACAGCUAUAGAUGGAGCUAAAAGA